rnacentral:rRNA from 1 species
UACGAAGGGGGCUAGCGUUGCUCGGAAUCACUGGGCGUAAAGGGUGCGUAGGCGGGUCUUUAAGUCAGGGGGGAAAUCCUGGAGCUCAACUCCAGAACUGCCUUUGAUACUGAAGAUCUUGAGUUCGGGAGAGGUGAGUGGAACUGCGAGUGUAGAGGUGAAAUUCGUGGAUAUUCGCAAGAACACCAGUGGCGAAGGCGGCUCACUGGCCCGAUACUGACGCUGAGGCACGAAAGCGUGGGGAGCAAACAGG